rnacentral:rRNA from 1 species
AGUGAACGCUGGCGGUAGGCCUAACACAUGCAAGUCGAACGGCAGCACAGUAAGAGCUUGCUCUUACGGGUGGCGAGUGGCGGACGGGUGAGGAAUACAUCGGAAUCUACUUUUUCGUGGGGGAUAACGUAGGGAAACUUACGCUAAUACCGCAUACGACCUACGGGUGAAAGCAGGGGAUCUUCGGACCUUUCGCGAUUGAAUGAGCCGAUGUCGGAUUAGCUAGUUGGCGGGGUAAAGGCCCACCAAGGCGACGAUCCGUAGCUGGUCUGAGAGGAUGAUCAGCCACACUGGAACUGAGACACGGUCCAGACUCCUACGGGAGGCAGCAGUGGGGAAUAUUGGACAAUGCGCGCAAGCCUGAUCCAGCCAUACCGCGUGGGUGAAGAAGGCCUUCGGGUUGUAAAGCCCUUUUGUUGGGAAAGAAAAGCAGCAGGUUAAUACCCCGCUGUUCUGACGGUACCCAAAGAAUAAGCACCGGCUAACUUCGUG